rnacentral:rRNA from 1 species
UACGUAGGUGACCAGCGUUGUCCGGAUUUACUGGGCGUAAAGAGCGCGCAGGCGGUCGUUCAAGUCGAGUGUGAAAGCCCCCGGCUCAACUGGGGAGGGUCAUUCGAUACUGAUCGACUCGAAGGCAGGAGAGGGAAGUGGAAUUCCCGGUGUAGUGGUGAAAUGCGUAGAUAUCAGGAGGAACACCGGUGGCGAAGGCGGGUCUCUGGGCCGUUACUGACGCUGAGGAGCGAAAGCGUGGGGAGCGAACAGG